rnacentral:rRNA from 1 species
AGAGUUUGAUCCUGGCUUAGGAUGAACGCUGGCGGCGUGCUUAACACAUGCAAGUCGAACGGGGUUUAAGAAGGAAGCUUGCUUCAUUUAAACCUAGUGGCGGACGGGUGAGUAACGCGUGAGGAACCUGCCCUUCAGUGGGGAACAACAACUAGAAAUGGUUGCUAAUACCGCAUAAUGUCGGAGAGCCGCAUGACUUUCCGAACCAAAGGAUUUAUCCGCUGGAAGGAUGGCCUCGCGUCCGAUUAGGUAGUUGGUGAGGUAACCGGCCCACCAAGCCUACGAUCGGUAGCCGAACUGAGAGGUUGAUCGGCCACAUUGGGACUGAGACACGGCCCAGACUCCUACGGGAGGCAGCAGUGGGGAAUAUUGGGCAAUGGGCCGAAAGCCUGACCCAGCAACGCCGCGUGAAGGAUGACGGUCUUCGGAUUGUAAACUUCUUUAAUUGGGGAAGAACAAAAUGACCUACCCAAAGAAUAAGUCACGGCUAACUACGUGCCAGCCGCCGC